CAGCAAGCACACACAGCGGAGACGGACGCCAGCAAAAAGCUCCAAGAUAAGAGUGGCACUAGCACUGCGAGAAACCGAUGCAUAAGAAUGGAAUGGCCAGGACCAUGAGGCAGCCUUUGAGCGCUCAAAACGAAGGACACAUCGAAGAGGAAGAGGGCCAGCUUUGAUGACGGCAUCGUGGAGUACCCCUGCAGGAAUGCCUAGUACAAUACAAUUUCAACCUCCCAUACGUUCAUUGCAAAAUCAUCCAAAGUUAUGUGGUAGAGGUAUCUCUUUUAGCAGCUAUGGUAUAGGCAUAUUAUAGACAGGAUGAUACAGAAAGAAGGACAAAGGAAUCAAAUCGGGGGCAAGCCCCCUGCCCAGUCGCUUCAUUCGUGCGACAAAAUAUCGAACGACUAUCCAAAACUUUUGCAUAUUCCAGAGAAUUUAGCGCAGAAUUUCUUUCAUUCCCCUGUUUAAUCGAUUUUAUGAGCCAAAGGAUUCUGCACCAAACAGGCCCUUGAGACAUCAGUGAGAUAUACAUAUGUACUUGUAUGUGUGUCACACUGGAUUCCAAACUGGCGCAGUCCUGGUACUCAUCCGUUGCCUCCUUCAAUGCCAUGCCGUACAGACUAUCCGAUAUCACUAUUGGGAAGCCGAUCUGCAGUGGCCCACACUGACCGGGGUAACUGUACAUCGAGGAGGCACAGCGACAAAAUGGACAAGUCGCCGCUCGUUCCCUUCCCAGCCAUUCUGCUGUAGGGUGUUUACACGCGGUAUGUGCCCAAGCCGCAUCUACCCAAUGAUGUGGACGUGGACUGUCAUCAGCAACAGUAUCAGAACCUCAAUCUCAACGAGGACUCUUGAAGUCAGGCCUCACCGACGAAGUCCUGCAGCCCACCGCGGAGAAGCACUCACAACGUGAUUUCGGAUUUCGGAUUUCGCCUUUCCACACAAGUUUCCCAUAAUCUACAUUAAUGACAACCACUGGGACAUCAAUUAGCCGGCGGCCUGAUUCGGUCUGUGCAUUGGUAGGAGGAGACCACUAUCUGCUGCUGACCAAGAGGUACUACAAUAAACGAGAGCCUGCAGAA